rnacentral:rRNA from 1 species
AGUGAACGCUGGCGGUAGGCCUAACACAUGCAAGUCGAACGGCAGCACAGUAAGAGCUUGCUCUUACGGGUGGCGAGUGGCGGACGGGUGAGGAAUACAUCGGAAUCUACUUUUUCGUGGGGGAUAACGUAGGGAAACUUACGCUAAUACCGCAUACGACCUACGGGUGAAAGCAGGGGAUCUUCGGACCUUGCGCGAUUGAAUGAGCCGAUGUCGGAUUAGCUAGUUGGCGGGGUAAAGGCCCACCAAGGCGACGAUCCGUAGCUGGUCUGAGAGGAUGAUCAGCCACACGGGAACUGAGACACGGUCCAGACUCCUACGGGAGGCAGCAGUGGGGAAUAUUGGACGAAGGGCGCAAGCCUGAUCCAGCCAUACCGCGUGGGUGAAGAAGGACUUCGGGUUGUAAAGCCCUUUUGUUGGGAAAGAAAAGCAGCAGGUUAAUACCCCGCUGUUCUGACGGUACCCAAAGAAUAAGCACCGGCUAACUUCGUG